rnacentral:lncRNA from 10 species
CCUGCCUCAGCCUCCUGAUAGCUGGGACUACAGGUGCCCGCCACCACGCCCGGCUAAUUUUUUUGUAUUUUUAGUAGAGACGGGGUUUCGCCAUGUUAGCCAGGAUGGUCUCAAUCUGACCUCGUGAUCCGCCCACCUCGGCCUCCCAAAGUGGUGGGAUUACAGGUGUGAGCCACCUCCCCGGCUGGUGCUACACACUUUUAAAUGACCGGAUCUGUGAACUCAGAGCAAGAGCUCUCCUAUCACCAAAGGAAUGGCUCAAGCCAUUCAUGAAGAUCUGCCCCCACGAUCCAAACACUUCCCACUAGGCCCCAUCUCCAGCACUGAGGAUUCCAUCUCAACAUGACAUCUGAGUGAAAAAAAUUAAUCUAUAGAGAGGAUAAUCACACAAGGUUAUACAAGUGGUUCAUAGAAGUGAUGUUUUAUAAAAGUUAGUAUUAAAAUUACUUCUGGAUUGUAUUAUACGU